ensembl:lncRNA
CUCAUUUCUUGCUUCGUCUAACUUGCUGAUAACUUGCAGAGAAGCACCCCAAAGCAGCAGACUAUCUGCUGAACAAACUGUUAUGACUGAAAUGGUCAUGACCACCACGUCCCAACCUGCCCACUUGGUAGUAUGGCCCAAGGUGGGAUGCAGGAUGUCCUUGGCUAGCUGCACCCUUGGGAGCCUUGGGCAAGUUUUCCGCUGGACUAGGCUUUCUGGGAGGACUCCGAAGGGAUGGUAAGGCCAACUCGGGGAUAGGCAAUGGCUUGGAGGUAACUGCUCCUGCAAGAAAAAAACCCUGAACAAGUUGUACCAUCUUUACUGCCCUGAUGGAAGGGGCAGCAAGGAAAGGCAUGAGCUAGCAUAGGAUAAUGUGUAAAUCUGGCAGAUGGGAGGGGAUGGGUGUGAGGCUUAGCUCUGUGCGUGGAGGCAACAUAGACAAUGACCGUGGGAUGUGCUGGAAGCUGCGAUCGAUCAUUAUUUCUCAGUGUUAUGACAGAACUACUCUCUUUUUCUGCAGAUUGCAAUUUACUCUCAUCUUUCUUAUAAGCAUGCAGCCCACAGAGAUCACAGGCUCCAGCCCGCAGGGCACAGCGGCUACUACAGUCGAGACAGGAGAAGCUCAGGCUGCAAAGGACUCCUUUGUACUAAAGAGGAGCCCUGCAGACCAGGGCCUGGAUACAGAAGCCAUGCUCAAUAAAAGGAAGGACUGGAUGGUUAUGAAGAAACUUUCCGUUAGCGUCAGGACUGAUUUCUUCUGAAACUCAAAACUCGUUAUCGUCUUGGUGAGCACCAAGAAGAGCCACCUGCAACGUACCAUAGUUAUUCCAGUAAAAAUAGCUGUGAAAAACCAAAGACACUCUGUAGCGGGACUGAAAUCUCUCUUGAAUCAAGUGAUUGCUGGCAGUGACUGGCAGGUCAGUGACCCGAGCUAAGGGCAGAUAUCAGUACCGGAAUGGUGAGGGUGGUUCAGGAGCUGCUAUGGCCUCUCAGGCUGCUGAUCCUGCCGUGGCUGACUUCUCACAGAAGCAGAUGAGACACGCUUGGAUCACUUGUUCUGUCAGCUCCGCUUCAGCUGCCUCCAGCAGCCACUUCUGCAGUAACUGCCUGGUCGUCCUCUGGCACAGCAGCCUCUUGCCUUGCUUAGAGCUUUACCUCUGCCAAGUCCUGCUGCCAAGUGGGAGAAGCUCAUGCAACAAGGCAACCCAGAAGGGUAUUUUGCUAGCUGGAGGACGGAGGAAAAGUAAGUCCCUAUGUGCACAGACACACGAAUGUUUCCCAGCUCUUCUGGGGUGAGAAACAAUUCAAAGGUACAAGCAGGACACCUGUGUGUGGACACAUGGGACAAACGUGACUGCAGUACCAGCCGUUCCGGAGCACAGAGUCCCUUGCCAGGCAGAAAUGAGGCCGUCUCCCUGCUCUGUCCCUUGGCCUUAAUUUGAUGCUGGCAGAAGUUUUCCUUCGGGACAGGACAAAAAUUUCUUUCAUCUGCAGUGACCUUGAAUUUCUCUGGCCAGGAGGACUUUUAGGAGGAGACAGCAGUCCUCCUGCAGUUCGUAGCCAAUUCAUCUCUGUGUAUAUACCAUGAUCUUCUCUGUAAUCGUUUUGGUCCUGCUUUCAGGCCAUGUUAACUAAAUAUUAGGCCAUUAACAUGGUCUGAGGGAAAGACCAAAGAAAUUGUCCCCCUCUGCUGUCCGGGGACAGCACAUUGCACGGUGCAGCUCUGCAGAGGAAGAGAAAUGGAUUUUGGAGAAAUGGAUC